CAUUGGAGAACGCAGGGGGCAUCUUUUGGAAAUAUAAUACAGUAACGCCACAUAUAUUAACACCUCGUGCCCCUCUUUCUGAUCACCAUUGCAUCGUCUAAAUGAUUUCUUCCUCGCUCUAGAAGCCCUCUCUUUCGCCAAAUCUUCUGCGGCUGUUCUUUUUGUUGGAACCGCCGUGUGUGCGUCAUAUUGAACCUUUCCUCUUCUUCAGUCAUUGUCGUUUCCGGGUUCCAUCAUUUUCCCUUUCCUCGUAAUAUAUGAAUUCUUAAUUCUCGUUUCUCCGCAAGAAGAAGGAAAGAAAGCCAGAAAGGUAGAAGUCGAAACGGGGGAAAAUGGCAGAGAUUGCUGUGUCUGUAGCUUGCGAAGUGGCAAAGUGCCUGUUGGCUCCGGUCGGUCGGCACUGCGGCUACGUAAUAUUCUCUGACCGCUGCGUUCGGCAACUUAAUGUUGAAAUUAAGAAGCUGGGUGACACGAGGGAUGAGGUGCAGCAUUCUAUCGAUGAUGCUCGAAACAACAUGAAGCCGAUCAAAGCCAAGGUUGAGACUGUUAGAAAUAGUAAAAUUGUUUUUGUGUUUUGAUUAGCCUAUUUGUCUUUUAAUUAUUUUUGGCUAAGUGUGUGAAAGCAAAGGAGAGAAUUCUUGAAGAAGCAAAGGAGAGAAUUCUUGAAGAAGCUACAAGUGGAACUUGUUGCUCAAGUCUUGAAGAGUAGGAAGAAAGCUUCAACUUUGUAAACUUGAACUUGAAGGAAAAGUUUCAGCCCAAAAUUGUUGACUCCUUGGCCAAGAAGAAAUGUUCAACUUCAACUCUUGCAUGUUGAAGAUAAUGGUGGUGAAAAUGCUUAUAAAUAUAGGGUUAUGUUAGUUUUUUUAGAGUGUGAGAGUGUUUGUAAAAGUGAGAGAAAGUGAGAUUUUAGAGAGAGUUUUAAGCUUAGCAAAGUUAGUGUGUGUACUCUCUUAAGCCUUUACAAAGGCAUAUUGUGUAAUAUAAUCUCCCUUUGUGUGUGUACUCUCUCCCUCCAACUCCUUUUGGUUCCAACAAUUGGUAUCAGAGCUAGCCAUGGCAUCCACUAGCUCCGUUCAGAUGCAACUUCCAAAGUUGAACGGAAAAAAUUACAACAACUGGUUCGUCCAGAUGAAGGUUCUAUUCAAGUCCCAAGACUUGUGGAACCUGGUGGAGAACGGCUAUACCGAUGUAGCUGAUGCUGAAGAAUUCAAUGCUUUGAGGAAAGAGGAGAAAGAAGCGUUGGUGGAAUCUCGAAAGAAAGAUCAGAAAGCAUUAUAUGCGAUCUUUCAAGCCGUGGAGGAGACGAUAUUUGAAAAAAUAUCGAGUGCUGAGACAGCAAAAGAAGCGUGGGAUAUAUUGCAAAAAUCCUACAAAGGUGAUGAUCGUGUCAGGCGGGUGCGGCUCCAAACACUUCGAGGAGAUUUUGAGUCUUUACGCAUGAAUGACUCUGAAUCUAUCUCGGCUUACUUUGAUCGUGUACAAACCAUCGUUAAUAAACUGAGGGUUAAUGGUGAAGAGCUCCAAGAUGUGCGAGUCGUAGAAAAAAUCUUGAGGUCUUUGACUGAAAGAUUUGACUAUGUGGUUGCGGCGAUCGAAGAAGGCCAAGAUAUAUCAACCAUGACGUUGGAGAGGUUGAUGGGUUCAUUAUGUUCGCAUGAGCAAAGAAUGAACCAGAAGUCUAUCAGUUCGAAUUCUGAGCAAGCACUGCAGAGUCGGGUCACUCAAUCAAAUCGAGGAGGUCAUCAUGGUGGCCGAGGUCGUGGAGGUCGUGGUGGUGCCCGAGGUAGAGGUGGAAAUCUGAAUUCCACUAAAAGAUAUCAAACACGUGACAAAUCAAAAGUCAAGUGUUUUAACUGUAACAAGUUCGGACAUUACAAAUCCGAAUGUCGAGCAAACAGGGGGCAAGAGCAGCCAGAAUAUGUGCAUGCUGUCGAUGCAAAUGAAGGCGUGGUGUUAGCAUGCCAAAUGGAUGACUCAAGUACCAUGGACACAAAAAUUUGGUACCUUGAUACCGGGUGCAGCAAUCACAUGUGUGGUCAAAAGGAGCUAUUUUCGAAGUUAGAUGAAACGGUUCGUGGUGAAGUCAACUUCGGGAAUAAAUCCAAAAUUCUCGUGAUGGGCAAAGGUAACAUUGAUAUCAACUCAAAAGAUGGUACUAAUGUUACUAUUGCAGACGUUUACUUUGUACCGGGACUCUUUUGGAAUUUGCUAAGUGUUGGGCAACUAUCCGAAAAAGGCCACAAAGUUAACAUUGAAAAUGGUGUGUGCACCAUUAGAGGCGCAAACAAUAAGUUGAUUACGACGACACAAAUGACGAAGAACCGGAUGUUUCCUCUAUCCCUUCAGACGAAGACUCUAUUGAGUUUCCAAGCAACGACAAAAGGUAGCAAGUGGCUUUGGCAUCUUCGGUUCGGUCAUCUAAAUUUUCGUGGACUUAAAUUACUAGUCCAGAAAAAGAUGGUGACUGGCAUGCCCUUGAUCGACGCUCCAGACCGCUCAUGUGAAGGAUGUCUCGUUGGAAAGCAACAUCGGAAAUCUUUUCCAAUUGGGAGAGCUAGAAGAGCCAAGCAACCUCUAGAGUUGGUACAUACAGAUAUCUGUGGCCCUGUUGAGGUGGAAUCAUUUGGACAAAAAAGGUACACGCUAAUUUUUGUCGAUGAUUUUACUAGAAAAACAUGGGCUUAUUUUUUGAGAGAAAAGUCCGAAGCUUUUGGCAAAUUUAAAGAAUUCAAAGUCUAUGUUGAGAAACAGAGUGGCUUUAAUUUAAAGACAUUGAGAUCGGACAGAGGUGGAGAGUUUACUUCCAAUGAAUUUGAUAAUUAUUGUAAAAUUCAUGGAGUGAAACGUCAAUUGACUGCUAGCUAUACUCCUCAGCAAAACGGUAUAGCAGAAAGAAAGAAUAGAACAAUUUUUGAAAUGGCAAGAAGUAUGCUAAAGGCUAAAGCAUUACCGAAGAAGUUUUGGGCAGAAGCUGUUGCUUGUGCUGUAUAUGUGUUGAACAGGUGUCCAACAAGGAGUGUUCUUGGAAGAACUCCAGAAGAGGCUUGGAGCGGCAACAAGCCAGAUGUUUCGUUCCUACGGGUAUUUGGGUGCGUAGCAUAUCCCCAUAUACCGGACGAACGAAGAAAAAAGUUGGAUGAUAAAAGCGAGAAGUGCAUUUUCAUUGGAUAUAGUAAUGUGACUAAGGGUUAUAAGCUAUAUAAUCCUGUCACGGAGAAGGUAAUUAUUAGCAGGGAUGUCCAAUUUUUUGAAGAUGAAGCCUGGGACUGGAAUCAAAAGGCUGACCAGAAAGGCAUUCCUAUGGAAGAUGAACCAUUGGUGAGGGAGACCGAAGAAUCUCAAAUUGAAGUUCCAUCACUUUCACCUGGUAGUUCAUCCUCCUCACCAGCAACGACUGCAGAACCAUUGAUUCGUCGUUCACAACGACCGCAGAAGACGCCAGUAAAAUUCAAGGAUUAUGUGGUCACAAGAGUUGAUCGUAAUGACGGUGACGAAAUCACUGAUGAAGCAAUGGUAAACUUUUGUUUAUUUACCGAAUGUGACCCCAUAUCCUAUGAUGAUGCAGCAGCAGAUGAGAAGUGGAACCAAGCAAUGGAUGAAGAAAUCCACUCCAUUGAAAAGAAUGACACGUGGGUGCUAACUUCUUUACCACCUGGUAAGAAGCCUAUAGGUGUCAAGUGGGUGUACAAAACGAAGUACAAACCCAACGGUCAGGUGGACCGUUACAAAGCUAGACUGGUGGUGAAAGGCUACAAGCAAAAGCCAGGUAUUGAUUAUUUUGAAGUAUUUGCACCAGUGGCUCGAAUGGAUACCAUUCGGAUGAUCUUGGCACUUGCAGCUCAGAACCGUUGGAAAAUCCAUCAAAUGGAUGUGAAAUCGGCAUUCCUUAAUGGUUUUCUCGAUGAGGAAGUAUAUGUGGAGCAACCACAGGGUUAUGUGAAGAAAGGGUGUGAAAAUCAAGUUUAUAAACUGAAGAAAGCGUUGUAUGGGCUAAAACAGGCACCUCGAGCUUGGUACACGAGGAUUGAUACUUACCUGUUGGAGCAUGGCUUUCAAAAGUGCCCUUAUGAGCAUACACUGUAUAUCAAAUCAAAUACUAACGGCGAUAUUAUAAUUGUUUGCCUUUAUGUUGAUGAUUUGAUAUUUACAGGAAGCUGUGAGAAGAUGUUUGCUGAAUUCAGGGAGGCCAUGACAAGUCAAUUUGAGAUGACAGAUUUGGGAUUAAUGUCCUAUUUUUUGGGCCUUGAAGUGAAGCAGACAAAUGAAGGCAUAUUUGUUUCACAGCAGAAGUAUGCUAAUGAUAUUUUGAAGCGAUUCAAUAUGGAAACGCUCAAAUCAAUUCGAACUCCUGUAGCAGAACGGUUGGAGUUAAAGAAAGAAGGAACCGGUGAAUUGGUAAAUCCCACUUAUUUCAAAAGUAUUGUUGGCAGUUUAAGAUAUUUGGCUACCACUAGGCCAGAUAUAACUUAUGGCGUGGGAAUUAUUAGUCGGUUUAUGGAGAAACCAUACCAAUCACAUUUGCAAGCAGCAAAAAGAAUUUUAAGGUAUGUCAGUGGAACUCGCGAUCAUGGAAUUUUAUAUUCUUACACUGACAACUUCAGUUUAGUGGGAUAUACAGACAGUGAUUGGGCAGGUGAUACUGAAACACGAAAGAGCACUUCCGGAUAUGCGUUCUUUCUUGGAUCAGGAAUAAUUUCUUGGUCAUCAAAGAAACAACAAGUUAUUGCACUCUCAACAGCUGAAGCGGAAUACAUUGCAGUAUCUUCAGCAGCAUGUCAGGCGAUGUGGCUUCGAAGGAUGCUUUUUGAGCUUAUGCAUGAACAAAAAGGUCCUACUAAAUUGAUGUGUGAUAACAAGUCAGCGAUUGCAUUGGCCAAGAAUCCCGUAUUUCAUGGCAGGAGCAAACAUAUCGACAUCAAGUAUCAUUAUAUUCAUGAGCUGAUUAAAGAAGGUGAGAUUGAACUUGAUUUCUGUAAAUCCGAAGACCAGAUUGCAGAUAUUUUGACAAAACCAUUGAAGGCGGAUUUGUUCGAGAAAUUGAAGACAAUGCUUGGUGUCGUUGUUUUUCAAAAUCAAUUUUAAGGGAGGCUGUUAGAAAUAGUAAAAUUGUUUUUGUGUUUUGAUUAGCCUAUUUGUCUUUUAAUUAUUUUUGGCUAAGUGUGUGAAAGCAAAGGAGAGAAUUCUUGAAGAAGCAAAGGAGAGAAUUCUUGAAGAAGCAAAGGAGAGAAUUCUUGAAGAAGCUACAAGUGGAACUUGUUGCUCAAGUCUUGAAGAGUAGGAAGAAAGCUUCAACUUUGUAAACUUGAACUUGAAGGAAAAGUUUCAGCCCAAAAUUGUUGACUCCUUGGCCAAGAAGAAAUGUUCAACUUCAACUCUUGCAUGUUGAAGAUAAUGGUGGUGAAAAUGCUUAUAAAUAUAGGGUUAUGUUAGUUUUUUUAGAGUGUGAGAGUGUUUGUAAAAGUGAGAGAAAGUGAGAUUUUAGAGAGAGUUUUAAGCUUAGCAAAGUUAGUGUGUGUACUCUCUUAAGCCUUUACAAAGGCAUAUUGUGUAAUAUAAUCUCCCUUUGUGUGUGUA
rnacentral:lncRNA from 1 species